UUUUUGAAUUAAAAAGAGAAAUUUAUUUCAUAGUCAGGGUAUGAACCACAAGCUUCCAAAGA
rnacentral:tRNA from 1 species